CUUUGUGUCUGUGUGCGCACAGUCAUAACAGUAGCCUUUCUGUCAGCAAUUAACCCACAGAACAGACACACACACACGCACUUACGUGCCCAGCGAUAGCGAAAGAGACACAAAGGCAAAGACUGAGAUGGUAGAGAGCCAAGAAAAUGGGUCAACGUUGGAGCCCAGACCUAAGCCCUUUCAGAAGCACCCACCGGUCCCAAAGGAAAAGAGAAUCCACUUACUUGCCCCCCAUUAACAGGUCCCAGUGGCCUCUUGUGCUCCUGGCUGUGGGAGCCCGUGGCAGGGCUUCAAGACUACCCCACCAAGCUCCAAGACUUUCUGCCCACCACCAUAGUCUCAUAAAAUAAUAAUGAAACUUUUUGUAAAAACGAAGUCCAAGAUCAUACCCUGCUGUUAUGUGGCCAGUUGUUAACUGACCUACUCCUAUUUAUUAAAACACCAUCGCCUUGGG